AUUGAACGCUGGCGGAAUGCUUUACACAUGCAAGUCGAACGGCAGCAUAGGUGCUUGCACCUGAUGGCGAGUGGCGAACGGGUGAGUAAUACAUCGGAACGUGCCCAGUCGUGGGGGAUAACGCAGCGAAAGCUGUGCUAAUACCGCAUACGCCCUGAGGGGGAAAGCGGGGGAUCGCAAGACCUCGCGCGAUUAGAGCGGCCGAUGCCUGAUUAGCUAGUUGGUGGGGUAAAAGCCCACCAAGGCGACGAUCAGUAGCUGGUCUGAGAGGACGAUCAGCCACACUGGGACUGAGACACGGCCCAGACUCCUACGGGAGGCAGCAGUGGGGAAUUUUGGACAAUGGGGGCAACCCUGAUCCAGCAAUGCCGCGUGCAGGACGAAGGCCUUCGGGUUGUAAACUGCUUUUGUACAGAACGAAAAGCCUUGGGUUAAUACCCUGGGGUCAUGACGGUACUGUAAGAAUAAGCACCGGCUAACUACGUG
rnacentral:rRNA from 1 species